rnacentral:rRNA from 1 species
CGGUGUUUAACUGGCGUGAUGUGGGACGUCCUACCGGUGGGCUUAGCCUCGCGAGGGGCGGCCCAACUAAUAUCCCGUCGCGGUGCUCUUUACUGAGUGUCGAGUCGGGCCGGUACGUUUACUUUGAACAAAUUAGAGUGCUUAAAGCAGGCUAUCCUCGCCUGAAUACUGCGUGCAUGGAAUAAUGGAAUAGGACCUCGGUUCUAUUUUGUUGGUUUUCGGAACCCCGAGGUAAUGAUUAAUAGGGACAGAUGGGGGCAUUCGUAUUGCGACGUUAGAGGUGAAAUUCUUGGAUCGUCGCAAGACGGACAGAAGCGAAAGCAUUUGCCAAAAAUGUUUUCAUUAAUCAAGAACGAAAGUUAGAGGUUCGAAGGCGAUCAGAUACCGCCCUAGUUCUAACCAUAAACGAUGCCAGCUAGCGAUCCGCCGAAGUUCCUCCGAUGACUCGGCGGGCAGCUUCCCGGGAAACCAAAGCUUUUGGGUUCCGGGGGAAGUAUGGUUGCAAAGCUGAAACUUAAAGGAAUUGACGGAAGGGCACCACCAGGAGUGGAGCCUGCGGCUUAAUUUGACUCAACACGGGAAACCUCACCAGGCCCAGACACCGGAAGGAUUGACAGAUUGAUAGCUCUUUCUUGAUUCGGUGGGUGGUGGUGCAUGGCCGUUCUUAGUUGGUGGAGCGAUUUGUCUGGUUAAUUCCGAUAACGAACGAGACUCUAGCCUGCUAAAUAGGCGUACCUUAUGGUAUCGCGAAGGCCCCCGGCUUCGGCCGGUGGGUUUUUACUACCAACGUACAAACAAAUCUUCUUAGAGGGACAGGCGG